rnacentral:rRNA from 1 species
UACGGGGGGGGCAAGCGUUGUUCGGAAUUACUGGGCGUAAAGGGCUCGUAGGCGGCCAACUAAGUCAGACGUGAAAUCCCUCGGCUUAACCGGGGAACUGCGUCUGAUACUGGAUGGCUUGGAUUCGGGAGAGGAAUGCGGAAUUCCAGGUGUAGCGGUGAAAUGCGUAGAUAUCUGGAGGAACACCGGUGGCGAAGGCGGCAUCCUGGACCGACACUGACGCUGAGGAGCGAAAGCCAGGGGAGCAAACGGG